rnacentral:rRNA from 1 species
UGGGGAAUUUUGGACAAUGGGCGAAAGCCUGAUCCAGCAAUGCCGCGUGUGUGAAGAAGGCCUUCGGGUUGUAAAGCACUUUUGUCCGGAAAGAAGUCCUUGGCUCUAAUACAGUCGGGGGAUGACGGUACCGGAAGAAUAAGCACCGGCUAACUACGUGCCAGCAGCCGCGGUAAUACGUAGGGUGCAAGCGUUAAUCGGAAUUACUGGGCGUAAAGCGUGCGCAGGCGGUUUGCUAAGACCGAUGUGAAAUCCCCGGGCUCAACCUGGGAACUGCAUUGGUGACUGGCAGGCUAGAGUAUGGCAGAGGGGGGUAGAAUUCCACGUGUAGCAGUGAAAUGCGUAGAGAUGUGGAGGAAUACCGAUGGCGAAGGCAGCCCCCUGGGCCAAUACUGACGCUCAUGCACGAAAGCGUGGGGAGCAAACAGGAUUAGAUACCCUGGUAGUCCACGCCCUAAACGAUGUCAACUAGUUGUUGGGGAUUCAUUUCCUUAGUAACGUAGCUAACGCGUGAAGUUGACCGCCUGGGGAGUACGGUCGCAAGAUUAAAACUUAAAUGAAUUGACGGGGUCAUAGCUGUUUCCU